rnacentral:rRNA from 1 species
GACGAACGCUGGCGGCGUGCUUAACACAUGCAAGUCGAGCGGAAAGGCCACUUCGGUGGUACUCGAGCGGCGAACGGGUGAGUAACACGUGAGUAAUCUGCCCUUGGCUUUGGGAUAGCCACCGGAAACGGUGAUUAAUACCGGAUACGACCACUUCACGCAUGUGAUGGUGGUGGAAAGUUUUUCGGCCAGGGAUGUGU